GCAAGUCGAACGGUAACAGCAGAAGCUUGCUUCUGGCUGACGAGUGGCGGACGGGUGAGUAACGCGUAGGAAUCUACCAUAUAGUAGGGGAUAGCCCGGAGAAAUUCGGAUUAAUACCGUAUAUAUCCAGCCUAGCUGGGAAAAGAGGGCCAAUCCUUGGAAGCUCUCGCUAUUUGAUGAGCCUGCGUCCGAUUAGCUUGUUGGUGGGGUAAUGGCCUACCAAGGCUACGAUCGGUAGCUGGUCUGAGAGGACGAUC
rnacentral:rRNA from 1 species